UAACGCAUGUGCUAAUAUAUUAAGAUUUGGCAGUGGGGCAGAUACAAAUCACAGAUGCCUAUUGCUUCCUAGAAAAGAUGCUUAUACCAUUGAUUGGAACUAAAAUCAAGUAGCUUAUUGUUCAUUAUUUGUCUGGAAUCUAGAUGCUAAUCGACCGUCUCCAAAAUUUCAUCUCCUAAACCCUGUUUCUGUGGUUGUUUUUUUUAGCUGGUUCUUGAGACUAUGUUUUUCUUCCUGGAUUGCAAUAGAGGUCGAAACAUACGGUCAAUUUAGAGGAUACUCUUGAGAGGUUGUAUUCUGUUCUCUGAAUCAAGCCUUCUCUUGCUCAAAAGGCUUAUCAAGAUUUAUCCAACAGUCCAAGUCCCAGCACGUACAGAUCUUCUCAGACUCCAUAUCAGCCAGCGGAAGCCUACUAAGCUAAAUUCUUUCGAGAUGGAGGGGAAAACGAUUAUUGCGGUAAUUGUUGCGGGGGUCAGUUACCUGGCGAUUAAUAAGUGGAUAUGGACUCCAAUGAAGGAUGAUAAUGAUCCAGCAUCUCCAUCAUCAUCACCACCUCGUCCUCCUCCUAAGCUGGAGUAUGAUGUGUUUUUGAGUUUCAGGGGUGAUGACACUCGCAAGGGUAUCACCUCUGAUCUAUACCAUCGACUGCAGAGGAGGGGAAUUAAAACAUUCAUGGACGAUCCAAAUCUGGAAGUGGGGGAUGCUCUUUCUCCCACUCUCAUUGCAGCAAUUGAACAAUCACGGUUUGCAAUUGUUGUUCUCUCGCGAGACUACGCUUCGUCUACUUGGUGUUUGGAGGAACUUGCAAAGAUCUGUGAGUGCAUGGAAGACGACAGGAGAAUCCUGCCACUUUUUUAUCAAGUUGAUCCUGCUGAUGUGCGAUAUCAGAAGGGGAGUUUCAAAGAUGCUUUCACUAAGCAUGUAAAAUCUGGGCGACACAAAUCAGAGAAGGUGGAGGAGUGGAAAGCUGCUUUAUACAAAGUGGCCAAUAUCGCUGGGUGGAAUACAAAUGAUCAUAAGACUCACCAAGAACUGAUCGACUCCAUUGUGGAAUCUGUCUCCCGUAAAGUCUUACCUGCUGCAAUUGAGCUCAUGGGAGAGUUCGAAGAGUUUCAAGCAACGAGACAAGCCAUGGAUGAGGUUACGAAGGCCCUAAAAGACGAUAAAGUCAAUGCCGUUGGGGUGUACGGCAUGGGAGGCGUCGGCAAGACAACCAUGGUAAAACAUGUUGGUGCACAAGCCUGCAAAAAUGGGAUUUUUCAUCAUGUGAUUAUGGCUGUCGUUUCACAAUAUCCUAAUUUCGAAAAACUUCAAGACACAUUGGCCGAGCAGUUGGGCUUCAAAUUCUGGGAGGGGACAGAAAUUGCAAGAAUUAAUAGAUUGAAUACGGAGAUAAUGAGAAGAGAAAAACUCCUUAUAAUCUUGGAUGAUGUUUGGGGGACAAUAGAGUUGUCAAAGAUAGGGAUUCCCAUCUACAAGGAGCUUCAAAAGUGCAAGUCCAAAGUCGUACUCACCACAAGGAGAUUGAAUGUCUGUCAUGCCAUGGGGAGCGAAGCAAAAAUUCAACUCAGUAUCUUAUCAGAAGAAGAUGCUUGGAACUUGUUUUUGAACAAGGCAAGAAGGUCAUUUGAAUCGACCACUUUUGAGGGUGUAGCGAGGAAGGUAGCUGGAGAAUGCAGGGGUCUACCGAUUGCACUGAUAGCAGUUGCAAGGGCACUUGGAGAUAAAGAUCUGGAGGAAUGGCAAAAAGCAGCUCGAAAAUUAGAGGAGUCGCAAAUUGCCAACCCUGACCAUGAGGAAGUGGCUUUCGAAUGUAUAAAAUUAAGCUAUGAUUACUUGAAACAUGAGGACUACAAGUCAUGCUUCUUGCUGUGUUGCCUAUUUCCAGAAGACUCUGACAUUCCAAUAGAAGACUUGUUCAUGUAUGCAAUUGGGAAAGGAUUGUUUCGAGAUACUGAGACAAUCUAUGAAGCCAGAGGAAUAGCAAAUUCAGUGGUCAAGUACCUGAAAGAUUCAAGCUUGCUUAUGGAUGGUGAAGAAAAUGGAUGUGUAAGGAUGCAUGAUGUCAUUAGGGAUACAGCCAUGAAUAUUGCAAAAUCUGAAGAUGGGCACGGGUUUCUGGUAAAAGCUGGGUCUGGUUUAAAGGAUUGGCGGCCAUGUGGAUCACAUCAAGGCUACUCUGCAAUCUCACUGAUGAAGAACAAAAUUCAAAGGCUACCGGAAGGUUUGGUAUGUCCAAAACUCCAGAUUUUAUUACUACAUGAGAAUGAUGAUUUAAAUGAGAUUCCAGAAAAAUUUAUCCGAAGCGCAGAUGAAUUAAGGGUCUUAGAUCUUAGCAACACUGGUUUUUCAUUACUAUCCCAAUCGUUCACUCUCCUAACCAACCUCCAAGCUUUAUAUUUAGACUUUUGCCCAAAAAUAAUUGACAUUUCCAUACUCGGAAAACUUACGAAGCUUGAGAUUCUUAGAAUGAGAGAAUAUCCUCUUACAGAAUUGUCUAGAGAAAUAGGAUAUUUGACCAAUCUAAGGAUGUUGGAUGUUGGUGGUUGUGGACGGUGUCUAGGUAUCUUGACAAUUCCAUCUACCUUGAUAUCAAAGUUGCUAAGAUUAGAGGAACUGUACAUGCUGGAAUGUGGAUUUACCCGCUGGGGGGCAGAAUUUGACGAGGAAGGUGGAACUAAUAUUGGCUUUGAUGAGUUAGCUGGUUUACCAAAUUUGAAAAAUUUGCAGGUUUCCAUAGUAGAGGCAGAAUGCAUCCCUGAAAAUGUUGAGGUCCAACCAAAUUGGGUUUACUUUGAUAUACAUAUCCGCGGAGAACGAAUGGGCCGAUACAAUCGACCUGAUCGUAAUUCAAGGUCCUUGGUUCUUCAUGAGACACCCAUCAGUACCUUGCCUGAUUGGUUUGUCAGCGCGGUGAUAACGAAAACAGAGAAGUUAGAGUACUAUUGCCUCAAAGGGAUGUUGGGCAACAUUCUUAUGGAAUAUGAUUAUGGGAGGUCACAUGGACUGAAGCAUCUCACAAUAAGGGGAUUGGAGAAAAUCAUAGAAGAUUAUAGGCAUCUCCAUGAGAAUUUGGAAGUGUUUAUGAACACAACAAGAUGGGUUCAGAAAGGACCAGUGUUUGAGAAUUUGGAAGAGUUGCAUCUGACAGAUCUAGACUAUCUUAAGGUGUUGUUUGUUGGUGAGUUACCACCUAGGUCUCUCAUCAAUCUUAAGGUAUUGCAUCUGGCUCAAUGUUUUAACUUGGAGAAUGUACCAAAAUUUUUACAGAGACUACCAAAUUUGGAAAAACUACAUUUAGAUUGUCUACAUAAAUUGGAAUGUGUGUUUGGAAGUGAAGGGUAUGAGCUGGAACAAUCAAAACUGAGAGUGAUGCAUUUGUUGGGUCCAACUUCGGUGAAAAACAUCUGUAAUGGUCCUGCCCCACAUGGAAUGUUCCCGAGUAUUAAAAUUUUGACCAUCACAUAUUGUGCCCAACUGCAAAGUCUGUUCGCAUCUGAUGCAGCUCAGUGUCUUGUUCAAUUGGAAGACCUUUUUGUAGACCACUGCAAUUUGUUGGAAAGAGUAAUUGAAGCAGCAAAGAAUGAGAAGACAGUUCUUCCAAAAUUGAAGAACUUGGUUUUGUCCAAUCUUCCUAAGUUGUAUGGUGCAAGUGGUACUGCUGAUAUUGAGUGUCCUUCAUUGGAACACUUGAUUGUGGUGGAUUGCCCUCAGUUUUCGUUUUCAGAACCGUUCCAUCUCUUCCACGAUUUUGGAAGAAGGAAGUUUUCAUUCUCAACCUCAGCUUCUGACUACUUUGGCAGCAGGAACCUAGUCAAGUUGAAUGAUGAACAAGUAUACACGUUUCUAAGUAAUAGCUGCUGCGAGUGUGACCGGAAGACUCGAUUCUUCUAAUUAGUACAAGAAGCAAGCAAGGAAACAGUGAACAACAUCAAGAUUGUUGUUCUUCCAACAUCUGUGAACUUAGUUUUGAUAGAACUUCCUAUGUUGUACUGUGAAAGUGCUACUAUUGAUUUUGCGUGUCCUUAAUUGGAGCACUUCUUGUGUAGAGGGGUGCCCCCUGUUUCGAUUUUCAACCUCUGCUUCUGACUUCCAGAACAGGAAUCAAGUCCAACUCAAUUAUCAGCAACAACUUCAACUUCUAUCAUCAAGCAACCUUGGACUCCUUCACCUCAAGCCUGGCCCUAGUUUCCUUCCAUAAGUUUCACAUGCUGUUUCAAACUCAAAAUCUGUGCUUCCAAGGAAUUCGAAAAAGUUUGUCCUAUGUUUUCAGAACUCAACAUGCUUCACUGAAUUAUCACCUCGUGAUAUAAGUUCUUUCCCAAUCUCCCCAUAUUUUUGAACCUUUGCAUGAGUACACACGAUUCAAUUAACAACAGCCAUAGCACAAACUUCCCCAACAAUUGAAGGAAAUUUUGAAUCAAAGAAUUUGGCCCCUCCAAAAGUUACAAAAGAAGUCACAAAUAGCUUUUGCAUGAAACAAACAUUUCUACAAAGAGAUGAGCAUAUGCAUACACUACGAAUCGCAAAAUAGCCAGAACAACAAUCAAGCUCUAUGCUCAUGAGAAUUGUAUAUGAUGCAUGAAACAAUUGUCAAUAGUAUAAUAAAAUAACUCUUGUAAAUUAAACAUAUAUUUUCAAAUAGAAUUGAAUAUGAUGCAAGAGAUUCAUGAGUAGUAAACAGAUUCUUUUCCGAAAAUAGGGCAUGACAUAAGCAAUUUAUAUGCCUACGUAAGAUGCCAUUAUGGAGAGCAUAGAGAUUACCUCCAAUUGUGCAGCUGCGUUGUCAUUUUGAAGCCAUCACUUAAAGUUGUUCAACAGCAGAGGCUGCCAUGUUAGAGAAAAAGUAUUACCAUGAGAAUGAAUUUAACUUUGCACAAUUUUCUUAGAGUUAAUAUAUAUCUCCUAAUCAAACUACCUUUGAUACGAAAAGGUAAUGUCAAUACAGUCCAAACCAUUGUAAGAGUAAGUCAUUUUACCAAACUAACUGAUUAGAACUUCAAAAUCUAACUUUUUAAUGUCACGGCAUAUAUCUUGAACCAUUGUCUUACUCUGCUCAGCCUUUUGAUUUCUGGACUUUAUAUAUGAGUUCCUGCCUUAGAAGAUCACAAAAGAAAUACUCUGAAUACUUAAUGAAUCUAAAUACUCUGUUAAAUAGUCGUAAAAACAGGACAUAGAAACAUUAAACUCCAGAACCAAUCUAUUCGGAAACAUCAUAGAACCGUUUUUUGAAAACAUGUAUAAUAAAAGAGGAACACAAACAAUAAUUCACACAAACAAUAGAAGCAUUUAAGGGCUCAAUGCCAAUGUCAUCAUGCUUUCUCUGCUGUGAUUCUUGCUCCAUUCUUACUACAUUAUCAAGCUCCAAAAUUCAAUAAACAUAACCCAAACAGUUCCAUUAUCAAACCGAAACUGUUAUAUCAGAUUACCAAUACAAAGAGACAGAAAAUGCACAAAAACUGGAAAAGCAGAAAUACUAAAAGCAAGAACCUAAGAAGAUUGUCCAAAAACAUAUAGAAUACAAACGAUUGAUAACCAUUGAAAGAUGAAUAGAGAAAAUCAAUAAAGAUGUAAUCUUUCUGAAUCAGUAAGAGAACAACAUUCACAGAGUAUAUAUAUCAACAUGCUAUUUUCAUUGUUUUUUGAUGAAAGGAGGUUGUCAAAUAAUGAUAUGUACCUGUAACUGGAGUCUCUUGCUAGUCAACAUUAUCUUGUCUUUGAUAUUUGAAGUUUUGACUUUUGCUCAUUCCUUGCUUCAUCCAAAUCACCAUAAAUAAGCUACAAUUAGAUGAUUGUCAAAAUGAUCAGCAUAAAUAUAUAAUAAAGAAAGUCUACAAAGAAAUAUCAAGAGAUUGUUGAAAAAGAUGCAAAUUAUAAAAGUGCAUUUACUUUAACCUGGUGUUGAAAGACCUCUUUGUUUAUUUGAACCAUUGAUUCUUGAAUCUUGGCUUGUACAGCAACAAUAGCAAUAAUGUGUCCACAUGUGUUUUCAAGUUGUUUGAUCUGUCUAAGGUUUUUCUAAACAGAAUGCAUUCUUGUUGUAUGAUAUACUGCAAGCUUUUGAUCUGUUCCAACAAUGUAAAAUUAGAGAGUAACAUACUAACAUAUAAGGCUAGUAAUCACAGAAAAACGGUUAAUAGAUAAAUAAGGAGAUAACAAAACUUGGUAAGAAAACAUACUGUAGCAUUAAGCUGUUCCUCAGUUGAGCAAAACUCUGUUUCUCCUGCUUUUUUCUUGGCUUUGACAAUUUCAAUGUGCUCUUCCUGUAGAAUAGAAGUAAAAACCAUUAAAUAAAUAAAAAAAAUUGAAUCAAAGAACAAAAUUUACUAAAAGAAAAUCAAUACAUAUAGAGCAAAACAAUA